rnacentral:rRNA from 1 species
UACGUAGGGUGCGAGCGUUGUCCGGAAUUAUUGGGCGUAAAGAGCUUGUAGGCGGUUUGUCGCGUCUGCCGUGAAAAUCCGGGGCUCAACCCCGGACUUGCGGUGGGUACGGGCAGGCUAGAGUUCGGUAGGGGAGACUGGAAUUCCUGGUGUAGCGGUGAAAUGCGCAGAUAUCAGGAGGAACACCGGUGGCGAAGGCGGGUCUCUGGGCCGAUACUGACGCUGAGGAGCGAAAGCGUGGGGAGCGAACAGG